rnacentral:rRNA from 1 species
GGAAUCUUGGACAAUGGGCGCAAGCCUGAUCCAGCCAUGCCGCGUGAGUGAUGAAGGCCUUAGGGUCGUAAAGCUCUUUCGCCAGGGAUGAUAAUGACAGUACCUGGUAAAGUAACCCCGGCUAACUCCGUGCCAGCAGCCGCGGUAAUACGGAGGGGGUUACCGUUGUUCGGAAUUACUGGGCGUAAAGCGAACGUAGGCGGAUCAGAAAGUUGGGGGUGAAAUCCCAGGGCUCAACCCUGGAACUGCCUUCAAAACUCCUGGUCUAGAGUUCGAGAGAGGUGAGUGGAAUUCCGAGUGUAGAGGUGAAAUUCGUAGAUAUUCGGAGGAACACCAGUGGCGAAGGCGGCUCACUGGCUCGAUACUGACGCUGAGGUGCGAAAGUGUGGGGAGCAAAC